rnacentral:rRNA from 1 species
GGGGGGGGGGGGGGGGGGGCUGGGGGGGGGCGGGGCGGGCGGAGGGGGCCGGCGGGGGUGGGGUGCUCGAGUGGCGAACGGGUGAGUAACGCGUGAGUAACCUGCCCUUGACUUUGGGAUAACUUCAGGAAACUGGGGCUAAUACCGGAUAGGAGCUCCUGCUGCAUGGUGGGGGUUGGAAAGUUUCGGCGGUUGGGGAUGGACUCGCGGCUUAUCAGCUUGUUGGUGGGGUAGUGGCUUACCAAGGCUUUGACGGGGAGCCGGCCUGAGAGGGUGACCGGCCACGUUGGGACUGAGAUACGGCCCAGACUCCUACGGGAGGCAGCAGUGGGGAAUAUUGCACAAUGGGCGGAAGCCUGAUGCAGCAACGCCGCGUGCGGGAUGACGGCCUUCGGGUUGUAAACCGCUUUCGCCUGUGACGAAGCGUGAGUGACGGUAAUGGGUAAAGAAGCACCGGCUAACUACGUG